GUCUAGACGCAGAAAGCAUCGGUCAUAACAAGCCAAACUCUGAUCUUUUUGGCUUGCCUUUCCAUCCACCUAGCUACCCUGUUUGCCUUGGAAAAAAAUAAGGAACAACGUGUUUUCAUCAAAGAUUUUGUGUGGUGCAUUGAAGCCCAGAGGCAACAAGAAUGCUGGACUCAUCCUGAGAAGAAUGAAUUCUACACACCAGGAGGCACAGACAGGACUCGUUCUGGAACUGCAACUCUCUCCCUGAGCUUCCUUUGUUUCCGGGUUCCUGCUCCCUGCAAUCAAGGUGGCCGUUUAUCUCCUCAAAUACCAAAGCCGUCCUCCACGGCUGAGAUGUGAAACUUUUGAGGCCAACAACUUGAUCCUGCAUGUUCAGCAAGUGUCUGUCAAGCACCUUCAGAAGUGAGG
rnacentral:lncRNA from 1 species